GACGAACGCUGGCGGCGUGCCUAAUACAUGCAAGUUGAGCGAUGAAGAUUGGUGCUUGCACCAAUUUGAAGAGCAGCGAACGGGUGAGUAACGCGUGGGGAAUCUGCCUUUGAGCGGGGGACAACAUUUGGAAACGAAUGCUAAUACCGCAUAACAACUUUAAACAUAAGUUUUAAGUUUGAAAGAUGCAAUUGCAUCACUCAAAGAUGAUCCCGCGUUGUAUUAGCUAGUUGGUGAGGUAAAGGCUCACCAAGGCGAUGAUACAUAGCCGACCUGAGAGGGUGAUCGGCCACAUUGGGACUGAGACACGGCCCAAACUCCUACGGGAGGCAGCAGUAGGGAAUCUUCGGCAAAGGACGAAAGUCUGACCGAGCAACGCCGCGUGAGUGAAGAAGGUUUUCGGAUCGUAAAACUCUGUUGGUAGAGAAGAACGUUGGUGAGAGUGGAAAGCUCAUCAAGUGACGGUAACUACCCAGAAAGGGACGGCUAACUACGUG
rnacentral:rRNA from 1 species